rnacentral:rRNA from 1 species
GGUGAACGCUGGCGGCGUGCUUAAGACAUGCAAGUCGAACGCAGUCUUCGGACUGAGUGGCGCACGGGUGAGUAACACGUAACUGACCUACCCCCAAGUCGCGAAUAACCAGCCGAAAGGAUGGCUAAUACGUGAUGUGAUGAUCCGCUGUGGCGGAUCAUUAAAGACUUGAUCGCAUGGGGAUGGGGUUGCGUUCCAUCAGCUAGUUGGUAAGGUAAAGGCUUAACAAGGCAACGACGGAUAGCGGGCCUGAGAGGGUGGCCGGCCACAGGGGCACUGAGACACGGGUCCCACUCCUACGGGAGGCAGCAGUUAGGAAUCUUCCACAAUGGGCGCAAGCCUGAUGGAGCGACGCCGCGUGAGGGAUGAAGGUUCUCGGAUCGUAAACCUCUGAACCAACGACGAAAGACCCGACAAGGGAGAUGACGGUAGUUGGGUAAUAGCACCGGCUAACUCCGUGCCAGCCGCCGCAGUAAAAC